rnacentral:lncRNA from 1 species
AGUGAGAGCGAGAAUAAGAUAGCAAAAGCGAGAGUCAUAGUGAGGGUGAAGUAUAGUGUAAGGAUGAAAGGGAGUGCAAGAGAGUGAAUACAAUUCUAUUUACAUGUUUUAGUUAAGACAUCAGAAUUUAUCAUAUAUAUAUAUAUAUAUAUAUAUAUCAUGGUAAUAUAUUUUAUUUGAGAUUGACAACGUGAAAAGAAAUUUUGAGAUUAUGUGAUCAAUACUACGUGAGAGAGAACUUUGAAAGUAAGAGUGAGAGUGAUGGUGAGGAUGAGAGUGAGGAUGAUGAUGAGGGUCGGGUGAAGGUGAGAGUGUGAGUGAAAUUGAAGGCGAGAGUGAGAGUGAGAGUGAGAGUGAGGAUGGGUGAAAUUGAGGAUAAGGAUGAAAGUAAGCGUAAGAGAGUGAAUACAAUUUCAUUUACAUGUUUUAAUUAAAACAUCAAAACUUAUCUCAUAUAUAUAUAUAUAUAUUAUCAUAAUAUAUUUGAUCUGAUCUUUUCUAUAUGAGUUUGAUAUUGGUCUUUUAUUUGCAGUAUACAUACAUUUAUUCCAAUUGCUUAACAGUAUGUAU